rnacentral:rRNA from 1 species
UACGUAGGGUGCGAGCGUUGUCCGGAAUUAUUGGGCGUAAAGAGCUUGUAGGCGGUUUGUCGCGUCUGCCGUGAAAAUUCGAGGCUCAACCUCGAACUUGCGGUGGGUACGGGCAGACUAGAGUGAUGUAGGGGAGAUUGGAAUUCCUGGUGUAGCGGUGAAAUGCGCAGAUAUCAGGAGGAACACCGAUGGCGAAGGCAGGUCUCUGGGCAUUAACUGACGCUGAGGAGCGAAAGCAUGGGGAGCGAACAGG